rnacentral:lncRNA from 1 species
ACUGAUAUGUUAAGAGAAUUUCGUAGGUUUAAGCUUGGGAGAAUGAAGCUAAGUGCUUGUGAAUAAAUAGGCCAAAAAUGGUGCAUUUCUCUCUCUUGGAUCCAUAAAAUAAUGCAUGAAAUGAUUAUAAUGGCUGAUUGAUGGUAAUACUACAGCCUAUAGGUGAUUUCUAGAUGGAUUGGCCGGAUUUUGUGGACAAGUGGUAGCAAUAAGACAUAAAUAAUGCAUUUUCCCUUUUCUUUAAUUUAUAAAUUUUUUUUUUAAAUACAUUGGAUGCUAAAGUGGGAUUAUUCCCUUGUUUGAUAGUUGAUAGCAUAAUUAAUAUGCUAUGACCUAAUUGACCGUCAUUGCUCAAUAAUAUCUGUCCGCACAUACACAGUACAUCAUUAUUGUACUAUAAAAUCAUUAUAACAAUAAUAUAAUAUUAUUAUUCUCAUCUCUUGAUCACAAUCCCAAUUCAGGGUUUGGAUCUCAUAUCUGACUUCUCUUUC